UACGUAGGGUGCAAGCGUUAAUCGGAAUUAUUGGGCGUAAAGGGCGCGUAGGCGGCUUGUUAAGUCGGCUGUGAAAGCCCCCGGCUCAACUGGGGAGGUCAUUCGAUACUGUUCGACUCGAAGGCAGGAGAGGGAAGUGGAAUUCCGGGUGUAGUGGUGAAAUGCGCAGAUAUCAGGAAGAACACCCGUGGCGAAGGCGGUUCUCUGGGACGGUACUGACGCUGAGACGCGAAAGCGUGGGGAGCGAACAGG
rnacentral:rRNA from 1 species